CCUACGGGGGGCAGCAGUGGGGAAUAUUGCACAAUGGGGGAAACCCUGAUGCAGCGACGCCGCGUGAAGGAAGAAGUAUUUCGGUAUGUAAACUUCUAUCAGCAGGGAAGAAAGUUACGGUACCUGACUAAUAAGCCCCGGCUAACUUCGUGCCAGCAGCCGCGGUACUACGUCGGGGGCAAGCGUUAUCCGGAUUUACUGGGGGUAAGGGGAGCGUAGGCGGCUAUGCAAGUCAGAAGUGAAAGCCCGGGGCUCAACUACGGGACUGCUUUUGAAACUGUAUGGCUAGAUUGCAGGAGAGGCAAGUGGAAUUCCUAGUGUAGCGGUGAAAUGCGUAGAUAUUAGGAGGAACACCAGUGGCGAAGGCGGCUUGCUGGACUGUAAAUGACGCUGAGGCUCGAAAGCGUGGGGAGCAAACAGGAUUAGAUACCCGAGUAGUC
rnacentral:rRNA from 1 species